CGUUCAUUGGCGCACAGGACUCCUCUUGGGCCAAUCAGCACCAAUGUUUUGGAGCACAGUACGUUACCCGCCAUGAAACAAAGAAGAAGUGCUUGCCUGACUUGCGUGACCACCACCACCAUGGAUUCGGCUGGGACAAAUACGAUUCCUGCUGCUCCAGUAGCUCUGAUCGACUUCUCUGCUAAAGCCAAAAAAAAAAAGCUUGACCGUUCUAUUGAUGGCAGGACAACUGAAAACCAGUUAUGGAUGCAAACAUGAAGCACAAGCCAGAGGAGUCUAUGAGAAGCUGAUGGGUCGGGAGCAUGCAGGCUUCUCCUGUAUGGACAGUGGUCUCUGACUGAACCCCAAGUGGCCAUACAUGGGGUCCUCCCCUGAUGGGAUUGUUGCUUGUGACUGUCACAGAACUGGCAUCUGCAAGAUUAAGUGUCCACACUCUCACCAAGAUGAAGCCAAUCUGCGCUUGUGUGCUGGGGAAAAGGGCUUCUGCCUCAUCAAUGAUGGGGAUAAUGUCAUGCUGGACCGGACUCAUGACUACUACUACCAAGUUCAGGGACAGCUUCACAUUGUAGACGCUGAGUACUGUGAUUUUGUUGUGUGGAACCACAAUGACAUUUUUGUUGAAAGGAUUUUGCCCGAUCUUGAACUUUAGGAUGAUGUUAGGCUUUUUUAGAAACGGCAUACUUCCAGAAAUACUGGGACAGCAAGUUACAAACUCACAUGUGUAAUGUAAUGAAAGGAUCCAGGCACUCUUGAAAGUGGGCUGUGUGAUAUUGCUGUUAUAUCAAUACGGUUGUAUGAGACAAGAUUACAUUUUGACUAUUGUUAUGAGUGUGGUCUUUGUGAGUUCUGGCUGUUGUAUAAUUUAAAUGAAAAGAUUAAAUGCCAUUGAGAAGACAGAAUUAUACAUGGUGGUUUAUUUACAAGAUUAGAUUUUUCAACAAUUGUUAUAAUAACAAGAACAUGGUGUGCAAUAACAGAUUAGAAUCCAUUUCAUUACAUAUAAUACAUAUAGCCAGUACAAUUGGACUAGUGGAUAAAAGUAUUACACUUGUUGAAAACAUAUUAACAGACUGAUAUGUGUCGGGGCUCAGGUACUACUACUCCAUGUCCUCUUACUUAUCAUCAUCAGAGCCAAGAAGCAGGGAUCAGGUAUUGGACACUACAUGUGUGAGGGCUCAGGUACUGGACUGACUGAUUAUUAUCCCUCUCCCUCCUCCUUACUCCAAUGGGACAAUAGACUCCG